rnacentral:rRNA from 1 species
ACGAACGCUGGCGGCAGGCUUAACACAUGCAAGUCGAACGCCCGAGCAAUCGGGAGUGGCAGACGGGUGAGUAACACGUGGGAACAUACCCUUCGGUUCGGAACAACGUUUGGAAACGAACGCUAAUACCGGAUACGGCUCGAGGGCGAAAGAUUCAUCGCCGAAGGAUUGGCCCGCGUUCGAUUAGCUAGAUGGCGGGGUAACGGCCCACCAUGGCGACGAUCGAUAGCUGGUCUGAGAGGAUGGCCAGCCACAUUGGGACUGAGACACGGCCCAAACUCCUACGGGAGGCAGCAGUGGGGAAUAUUGGACAAUGGGCGCAAGCCUGAUCCAGCCAUGCCGCGUGAGUGAUGACGGCCUUAGGGUUGUAAAGCUCUUUCGCACGCGACGAUAAUGACGGUAGCGUGAGAAGAAGCCCCGGCUAACUUCGU